UACGUAGGUGGCAAGCGUUAUCCGGAAUUAUUGGGCGUAAAGAGCGCGCAGGUGGUUAAUUAAGUCUGAUGUGAAAGCCCACGGCUUAACCGUGGAGGGUCAUUGGAAACUGGUUGACUUGAGUGCAGAAGAGGGAAGUGGAAUUCUAUGUGUAGCGGUGAAAUGCGUAGAGAUAUGGGGGAACACCAGUGGCGAAGGCGGCUUCCUGGUCUGCAACUGACACUGAGGCGCGAAAGCGUGGGGAGCAAACAGG
rnacentral:rRNA from 1 species